rnacentral:rRNA from 1 species
CGGGGUGCAGCAGGCGCGAAAACUUUACACUGCCGGCAACGGCGAUAAGGGAACCUCGAGUGCCAGGUUACAAAUCUGGCUGUCGUGAUGCCUAAAAAGCAUUGCAUAGCAAGGGCCGGGCAAGACCGGUGCCAGCCGCCGCGGUAACACCGGCGGCUCGAGUGGUAACCGUUAUUAUUGGGUCUAAAGGGUCUGUAGCCGGCCGGAUAAGUCUCUUGGGAAAUCUGGCAGCUUAACUGUCAGGCUUUCAGGAGAUACUGUCUGGCUCGAGGCCGGGAGAGGUGAGAGGUACUUCAGGGGUAGGGGUGAAAUCUUGUAAUCCUUGAAGGACCACCAGUGGCGAAGGCGUCUCACCAGAACGGACCUGACGGCAAGGGACGAAAGCUAGGGGCACGAACCGGAUUAGAUACCCGGGUAGUCCUAGCCGUAAACGAUACUCGCUAGGUGUCGGCCACGGUGCGACCGUGGUCGGUGCCGUAGGGAAGCCGUGAAGCGAGCCACCUGGGAAGUACGGCCGCAAGGCUGAAACUUAAAGGAAUUGGCGGGGGAGCAC